GCGCCAAUUUAUGAUUCUCUGUCAGGUGAAAUGUCCAGCUGUUAAGUGAAUUGGUAUGGUAUGGUGGCUAGUUCCAAAUGAAAUGGCUAAGCUUCACCCCUUUGAACACUCAACUUCUCAGGGAGUGAAAAUGCUGGAACUAGGAUUUGCAGAUCCAGAGACUAAAACGUGACUUUAAAUCAGACUGACUGCAUCUGCCCAUUUUGAUGGUGAAGACCCCGUGGGAAAGACUUUUUGAUAAAUGAACAGGCAUUAGUCUUAUGACAUUUCUCCAACAUCCUGCAGUCAUCUUGAUGGCCACACCUCACUUUUCUUUACUGUCUGCUACUCCUUUGCUUCACUAAAAGCAGAAAAGGUGAAUAAUUUUCAUUCCAAGUGUUGCUGGGUUAGGGUCUCCCCGACCAAGCUGGUCUCGGCCAGUGGCGUCCAUUUUUGGGGGCUCAAAUCCAGGUCGAAGGGUCACUGGAGCGACGGUUGGAGAAUGUGGAACUAGCUGGAAGACACCCGAGUACUCUUAAAGCAAUCCCUGUGAUGGGCCUAGCAAUGGUAAAGCUUCUUAUUCUGGAUCAAAAAGCAAAGUUUUCCAGAUGCCCUAUACUUCAGCUCAAAAAUUGGAGCUUGUAGCUGUAAUUGAG
rnacentral:lncRNA from 10 species